ACGCUCGACACCUACGGGAGGCAGCAGUGGGGAAUAUUGCACAAUGGGGGAAACCCUGAUGCAGCGACGCCGCGUGAGCGAAGAAGUAUUUCGGUAUGUAAAGCUCUAUCAGCAGGGAAGAAAAUGACGGUACCUGACUAAGAAGCCCCGGCUAACUACGUGUCAGCAGCCGCGGUAAUCUGAGCGGCUGGCAAGGC
rnacentral:rRNA from 1 species